rnacentral:rRNA from 1 species
GACGAACGCUGGCGGCGUGCCUAAUACAUGCAAGUCGAGCGAACAGACGAGGAGCUUGCUCCUCUGACGUUAGCGGCGGACGGGAGAGUAACACGUGGAUAACCCACCUAUAAGACUGGGAUAAUCUCGGGAAACCGGAGCUAAUACCGGAUAAUCUAUUGCACCGCAGGGUUCAAUAGUAAAAUACGGCUUUGGUGUCACGUAUAGCUGGUUCCGCGCCGCAUUGGCUAGUUGGUGAGUUAACAGCUUACCAAGGCAACGAUGCGUAGCCGACGGGUGGGGGGGGUCGGCCACCUUGGAACGGAGCCAGCGUCCAGAGUACUACGGGAGGGAGCAGUAGGGAAUGUGACGCAAUAGGCGAAAGCAUGACGGAGCAACGCCGAGUGAGUGGUGGAGGUGUUCGGAGCGUAAAAAUCUGUUAUUAGGGAAGAACAAAUGUGUAAGUAGCUGUGCACGUAUUGACGGUAACUAAUAAGAAAGCAACGGCUAACUACGUG